CUGUGACCUGUGGGUUUCCCUUUGUCAUCCUAUGCCUGGAGAUCGUGAUAAGGCAGGGACAGCAAAGGGAUGCUCAGCUUUCACCUCU
rnacentral:pre_miRNA from 1 species